CUUAACACAAGUUGAGUAGGGAAAGUUUUUCGGUGUAGGAUGAGACUAUAUAGUAUCAGCUAGUUGGUAAGGUAAUGGCUUACCAAGGCUAUGACGCUUAACUGGUCUGAGAGGAUGAUCAGUCACACUGGAACUGAGACACGGUCCAGACUCCUACGGGAGGCAGCAGUAGGGAAUAUUGCGCAAUGGGGGAAACCCUGACGCAGCAACGCCGCGUGGAGGAUGACACUUUUCGGAGCGUAAACUCCUUUUCUUAGGGAAGAAUUCUGACGGUACCUAAGGAAUAAGCACCGGCUAACUCCGUGCCAGCAGCCGCGGUAAUACGGAGGGUGCAAGCGUUACUCGGAAUCACUGGGCGUAAAGGGCGCGUAGGCGGAUUAUCAAGUCUCUUGUGAAAUCUAAUGGCUUAACCAUUAAACUGCUUGGGAAACUGAUAGUCUAGAGUGAGGGAGAGGUAGAUGGAAUUGGUGGUGUAGGGGUAAAAUCCGUAGAUAUCACCAAGAAUACCCAUUGCGAAGGCGAUCUGCUGGAACUCAACUGACGCUAAGGCGCGAAAGCGUGGGGAGCAAACAGGAUUAGAUACCCUGGUAGUCCACGCCCUAAACGAUGUACACUAGUUGUUGGGAUGCUAGUCAUCUCAGUAAUGCAGCUAACGCAUUAAGUGUACCGCCUGGGGAGUACGGUCGCAAGAUUAAAACUCAAAGGAAUAGACGGGGACCCGCACAAGCGGUGGAGCAUGUGGUUUAAUUCGAAGAUACGCGAAGAACCUUACCUGGGCUUGAUAUCCUAAGAACCUUAUAGAGAUAUGAGGGUGCUAGCUUGCUAGAACUUAGAGACAGGUGCUGCACGGCUGUCGUCAGCUCGUGUCGUGAGAUGUUGGGUUAAGUCCCGCAACGAGCGCAACCCACGUAUUUAGUUGCUAACGGUUCGGCCGAGCACUCUAAAUAGACUGCCUUCGUAAGGAGGAGGAAGGUGUGGACGACGUCAAGUCAUCAUGGCCCUUAUGCCCAGGGCGACACACGUGCUACAAUGGCAUAUACAAUGAGACGCAAUACCGCGAGGUGGAGCAAAUCUAUAAAAUAUGUCCCAGUUCGGAUUGUUCUCUGCAACUCGAGAGCAUGAAGCCGGAAUCGCUAGUAAUCGUAGAUCAGCCAUGCUACGGUGAAUACGUUCCCGGGUCUUGUACUCACCGCCCGUCACACCAUGGGAGUUGAUUUCACUCGAAGCCGGAAUACUAAACUAGUUACCGUCCACAGUGGAAUCAGCGACUGGGGUGAAGUCGUAACAAGGUAACCGUAGGAGAACCUGCGGUUGGAUCACCUCCUUUCUA
rnacentral:rRNA from 1 species